rnacentral:rRNA from 1 species
UACGUAGGGGCAAGCGUUGUCCGGAAUCAUUGGGCGUAAAGAGCGUGUAGGCGGCCUUUUAAGUCCUGCGUGAAAUCCUGCGGCUCAACCGCAGACGGUCGUGGGAAACUGGAAGGCUAGAGUGCGGGAGAGGAGAGUGGAAUUCCCGGUGUAGCGGUGAAAUGCGCAGAUAUCGGGAAGAACACCCGUGGCGAAGGCGGGUCUCUGGGCCGAUACUGACGCUGAGGAGCGAAAGCGUGGGGAGCGAACAGG